AUGAUAACUUGCCAUUCUUCAGCCACCACUUCUCCUCUUCAACGACAUGACGGAAUACUGCCCCACAGCUUCUUAUAUGGAGUUCCCACCUACAUUGGCAAGGUUGACUCCCCAACAUGUCUUAAACAUUGCUCUCUCUUUGCCAAGCAGAGCAACUUUGAAGCUAAGAAGGUGGGGAUAGCCCCAUUCUAUUUGGUGGGUGACACCCAACACAGUACAACAAAUACAAGGAUGCUUGUGGCCAUUCACCAUGGCACCAAUUCAUCAAGUUUGUUAAUGGUACCGAAUUUGGUUGAAUGUGUCUCAGUAACACCGUUGUCAAACUCAUCUCCCUCAAGGGCACCAGCAUGGUAG
rnacentral:rRNA from 1 species